UGGCUCGAGUGGCGAACGGGUGAGUAACACGUGAGUAACCUGCCCUUGACUUUGGGAUAACUUCAGGAAACUGGGGCUAAUACCGGAUAGGAGCUCCUGCUGCACGGUGGGGGUUGGAAAGUUUCGGCGGUUGGGGAUGGACUCGCGGCUUAUCAGCUUGUUGGUGGGGUAGUGGCUUACCAAGGCUUUGACGGGUAGCCGGCCUGAGAGGGUGACCGGCCACAUUGGGACUGAGAUACGGCCCAG
rnacentral:rRNA from 1 species